GUUAGGAAUAUUGGACAAUGGGCGCAAGCCUGAUCCAGCCAUGCCGCGUGAGUGAUGAAGGCCUUCGGGUUGUAAAGCUCUUUAGUCCACGAAUAUAAUGACUGUAGUGGAAGAAUAAGCCCCGGCUAACUUCGUGCCAGCAGCCGCGGUAAUACGAAGGGGGCGAGCGUUAUUCGGAAUCACUGUGCGUAAAGCGUGCGUAGUCUGUUUUGUAAGUCAGAAGUGAAAGCCCAGGGCUUAACCCUGGAAUUGCUUUUGAAACUACAAGACUCGAAUUCGGGAGAGGAUAGCGGAAUUGUCAGUGUAGCAGUGAAAGGCGUAGAUAUUGACAGGAACACCAGUGGCGCAAGCGGCUAUCUGGACCGAUAUUGACGCUGAGGCACGAAAGCGUGGGGAGCAAACAGGAUUAGAUACCCGUGUAGUCC
rnacentral:rRNA from 1 species